UACGGGGGGGGCAAGGGUUGUUCGGAAUUACUGGGCGUAAAGGGCUCGUAGGCGGCCAACUAAGUCGGAUGUGAAAUCCCCAGGCUCAACCUGGGAACUGCAUCCGAUAUUGGAUGGCUUGAAUUCGGGAGAGGGAUGCAGAAUUCCAGGUGUAGCGGUGAAAUGCGUAGAUAUCUGGAGGAAUACCGGUGGCGAAGGCGGCAUCCUGGACCGACAUUGACGCUGAUGAGCGAAAGCUAGGGGAGCAAACGGG
rnacentral:rRNA from 1 species